AUUUAGGUAGUUUAAAUAAAAUAUUAAUUUGUGGAGUUAAAGAUACUUUAUAUAGGAGGGUCCUAAAUU
rnacentral:tRNA from 1 species